UACGUAGGGUGCAAGCGUUGUCCGGAAUUAUUGGGCGUAAAGAGCUCGUAGGCGGUUUGUCGCGUCGGCUGUGAAAACUCGGGGGCUCAACCCCCGAGCCUGCAGUCGAUACGGGGCAGACUAGAGUGCUGUAGGGGGAGACUGGAAUUCCUGGUGUAGCGGUGAAAUGCGCAGAUAUCAGGAGGAACACCGGUGGCGAAGGCGGGAUCUCUGGGGCCGAUGCCUGACGUGAGGAGCGAAAGCGUGGGGAGCGAACAGG
rnacentral:rRNA from 1 species